rnacentral:rRNA from 1 species
UCGGGAAUUUUGGGCAAUGGGCGAAAGCCUGACCCAGCAACGCCGCGUGAAGGAUGAAGUAUUUCGGUAUGUAAACUUCGAAAGAAUAGGAAGAAUAAAUGACGGUACUAUUUAUAAGGUCCGGCUAACUACGUGCCAGCAGUCGCGGUAAUACGUAGGGACCAAGCGUUGUUCGGAUUUACUGGGCGUAAAGGGCGCGUAGGCGGCAAUUCAAGUCAUCUGUGAAAUCUCCGGGCUUAACUCGGAACGGUCAGAUGAUACUGCUUUGCUAGAGUGCAGAAGGGGCAAUCGGAAUUCUUGGUGUAGCGGUGAAAUGCGUAGAUAUCAAGAGGAACACCUGAGGUGAAGACGGGUUGCUGGGCUGACACUGACGCUGAGGCGCGAAAGCCAGGGGAGCAAACGGGAUUAGAUACCCCUGUAGUCCCUGAGCGGGCUGGCAAGGCGCAU